rnacentral:rRNA from 1 species
UACAGAGGGGGCGAGCGUUGUUCGGAAUUACUGGGCGUAAAGGGCGCGUAGGCGGCCAACUAAGUCAGACGUGAAAUCCCUCGGCUCAACCGGGGAACUGCGUCUGAUACUGGAUGGCUUGAAUUCGGGAGAGGGAUGCGGAAUUCCAGGUGUAGCGGUGAAAUGCGUAGAUAUCUGGAGGAACACCGGUGGCGAAGGCGGCAUCCUGGACCGAGAUUGACGCUGAUGCGCGAAAAGCCAGGGGAGCAAACGGG